rnacentral:rRNA from 1 species
UACAGAGGUCCCGAGCGUUGUUCGGAUUCACUGGGCGUAAAGGGUGCGUAGGUGGCUGGGAAAGUUUGAUGUGAAAGCUCAGGGCUUAACCCUGAAAUGGCAUUGAAUACUGCCUGGCUGGAGGUUUGGAGGGGGGACUGGAAUUCUUGGUGUAGCAGUGAAAUGCGUAGAUAUCAAGUGGAACACCAGUGGCGAAGGCGAAUCCCUGGAAAAUACCUGACACUGAGGCACGAAAGCUAGGGGAGCAAACAGG